GACGAACGCUGGCGGCGUGCUUAACACAUGCAAGUCGAACGGAAAGGCCGUGCUUGUGUGGUUUGCUCGAGUUGCGAACUGGUGAGUAACACGUGGGUAACCUACCCUUGACUUUGGGUUAACUUUAGGUAACUGGGGCUAAUACCGGAUAGGAGCCCCUGCUUCAGGGGGGGGGGUGGAAAGUUUCGGCGGUUGGGGAUGGACUGGCGGCGUAUCAGACUGUUGGUGGGGUAGUGGCUUACCAAGGCUUGGACGGGUAGCCGGCCUGAGUGGGUGACCGGCCUCAUUGGGAGUGAGAUCCGGCCCAGACUACAUCGGGAGGCAGCAGUGGGGAAGAUUGAACAAUGGGCGGAAGCCUGAGGCAGCCACGCCGCGUGCGGGAUGGAGGCCUUCGGGUUGUAAACCGCUUUCGCCGGUGACGAAGCGUGUGUGACGGUAAUGGGUAAAGAAGCACCGGCUAACUACGUG
rnacentral:rRNA from 1 species